ensembl:lncRNA
CAAAAACAAAGCUAGUUCAGAACUCCAACAAAACCCAAACUAUCAAACCGCAGCAGUCAAUAAGAUGUAAGCAUUACCAUGCAGCACUAACCAAACUAAAAAGUGACUACAAAACAGCCCUUAAAAUACCUGCAGCCACUAGUAGCUAGCUAAUAUUAGCUCAGAGAUGUCGGAAAGCGUCUGGACAGCAAAACGAGCAACUAAUACAUAAAUACAGAAUGUUACCAGACUGUUUAAAAAACGGCUCUACUUACCUUGGCGAGGUGAAGGUGACCUAAGGCCAUUCUAAUAGAUUGACACCGACAGCAGGCUGACAGUGUUUCUGCACGGAUCCUCCACUUGUAUGUUGGUGAGCAGUGCUUUGCCAACUGGAAGCAAAGAAGAUGACCCCACACACCACGCAAUCAAUAAGUCUUCAGGGACAGCAGUGUGUUUAUGA